rnacentral:rRNA from 1 species
GAUGAACGCUGGCGGCGUGCUUAACACAUGCAAGUCGAACGAAGCACUUUAUUUGAUUUCCUUCGGGACUGAUUAUUUUGUGACUGAGUGGCGGACGGGUGAGUAACGCGUGGGUAACCUGCCUUGUACAGGGGGAUAACAGUUGGAAACGGCUGCUAAUACCGCAUAAGCGCACGGCAUCGCAUGAUGCAGUGUGAAAAACUCCGGUGGUAUAAGAUGGACCCGCGUUGGAUUAGCUAGUUGGUGAGGUAACGGCCCACCAAGGCGACGAUCCAUAGCCGACCUGAGAGGGUGACCGGCCACAUUGGGACUGAGACACGGCCCAAACUCCUACGGGAGGCAGCAGUGGGGAAUAUUGCACAAUGGGCGAAAGCCUGAUGCAGCGACGCCGCGUGAGCGAAGAAGUAUUUCGGUAUGUAAAGCUCUAUCAGCAGGGAAGAUAAUGACGGUACCUGACUAAGAAGCACCGGAUAAAUACGUG